UAGGGAAUCUUCGGCAAUGGACGAAAGUCUGACCGAGCAACGCCGCGUGAAUGAAGAAGGUUUUCGGAUCGUAAAACUCUGUUGGUAGAGAAGAACGUUGGUGAGAGUGGAAAGCUCAUCAAGUGACGGUAACUACCCAGAAAGGGACGGCUAACUACGUGCCAG
rnacentral:rRNA from 1 species